CUGCGUGCGGCCCGGUCAUGAGGCUGCGCCGCCUGCGUAAAUCGACACAAUUUGCACACCAAUGCAAUGGAAGCUGUUGAGGAGGAACCACCUCGGUUUGAUCUUUGUAAACUGCUGGUCUUCAGCCUCCAUAGACAGUUCUGGCAGUGCACUUGAACAAGGCUGCAAAGAUAAUUAAUGCCAGCAGAAGCAGCAGAGCUGGGAACAGUGAGCAGAUGUCCUGAGCCGGCCCGAGGAAGCCCAGGCAGCCACACCAAUACAACCACCAGCACACAGGAUCUCUUUGUUGUCUUGAGCUCUCAGGGUGGCUGCCUAACACCUGCAGCACUCCCACAUCCCUGUGUAAAUUGCCUGCAUCCCUCGCUGACAAAUGAGAGGCCAUUGCCAGCAACAAGGUAACCUGGCAUUCCCUUCGAGCUGCCUUCUGCUUCCCAGCCAGCUCCAGACAAUCUCGCAGCCUGUCAGUCAGCAUCACGUGAGCAGUCCCCCAUCUAUUGCUCCUGGGACCCAGGGGGUGAUUUGGAAAGGAUCUGCUGGGCUGUCACUCACCUCCAUCUGCCUUCAGGAGAAGGAUUCUGGGUUCCAUGCUGUUUCCUCUUGUGCCUGCAUGGCUUUGAUCACAAUUUGCUUCUCAGGCCUUCAGAAUCACAGCUGCCCUAGCUACACCAGGAAUCUGUGUGGAGAGCUCCCAUGAGCCCGCAGCACUCACCAGCAUUUGCCAGCAAGGUUCCUGCCUGGAAAACAAAAGCAACAGAGCUCUGACAUGACAGCAUAAUAUAUCAGCUCAGUCCUUGAAAGGUCCUGCAGAUGCUGCUGACAUUCUGGCUGGCUGAGAUGUUUGGCUCUGCUGGGAGACCUCUCCAUCCUCUUUCUGGGUCAGCUGGGCCCCAAAAGGCCGACUGGGUGGAGGGUGAAGGUGCUGAGAGUGGAGUUGUUCUGUGUUUGAGAGUAAAUGUGGAUAAACAUCCCUUACCCCAUGCUGAUGGAGCACUGCAAUGUCCCUGCCUGCCCUUCACACCAAAAGGGACAAGAGGAAAAGGACUCAGGCUCUGCCAGGGGAGCUUCAGGCUGGACAUCAGAAGGAAUUCCUUCACGGAAAGGCUUGGAAGACGAGCGUGCAUCUGCCCAACAGCUUUCAGAGCGAGCCAUCCCUGGCAGCCAAAGCAGAUUCUCCAUGCCUGCUUCCAAGCAGCACGAGAUGAAACAACUGGUGGCAGAGUGGGGUGUCUCUACAGUCCUAGCCACGAAGAGAGGGGAUGAAACAUCCUGGAGCAGCACAGGGAAGAGGCUGGAGCUGGGCUGCUGUCUCCACAGCUGUAGAACUACGGUGAAAUGGGGAUUCUUUGUUUGUGUUUCAUUGGCUUCUCUGUGGAAAACAGUGACCAUGAGAUGAGACAGAGCCUCGGGGUGGGUGCAGGUCCCACCACCAGUUCUGCCAGCUGCCUCAGCUGGGCCUGCUUCCCUCCAGCCCAUCCUGCCUCGCAGCCCCAGCUCUGGGAGGCAGGAAAGCUUUGUUCCACAGAGCUCAGCUCUUUCACCCCUCAAGCUGCUUCUAAGCAGUCUCUUCCAUUUGUGCUGAAAUGCUGUGUAGGAGCACUUGUCACUCAUCUCAGCUUGCAUUCAGCACGUUCCCAGAACCUGGGCAUGGAUGUAGAUGAGCUGUCCAUGUGGGAACUUGCUGGGCCAUCAGAGCACCUGCUCCUUUGGGAUCUGACACAAAGGGUGCCCCCCGUGUGCCCAGAGGUCGGUGCAGUGGGAAAGUUUACUCUGCACUAUCAUUGGCAAUGUUUCCAUUCUCCUAACACCUUUCAAACAGCUUGGUAGGUUCUACCUUGUGCAGGUGUCCAUCUCCCAUUAUCUUCCUCCUACCUGAGGUACACACAGAGCCUGUGACACACAGCUGAGUGAUUUUUAUUCCCUCCACUUGAGGGAAGUAGCUUACAAUGUUUUAAACUGGUCCUCUGUGACUGACUCAUGCCACCUAUUUCUGAAACACAGCCAGUAAGGUAAGAGAAGAUUUAGAAAAGUUAACAAUGUCCAGAUCUGUUUAGGACAGGAAUGGAGCCCAAAAGUUUAAUAAAAUACUGUAAAGAGCCAAGCCCAGCAUAGCUGCUCAACACAGA